CCAACUAAAAGUUCAUAGGGUACUUGAUAUUCUGUGUCCUGCUGUUCAUUCACCAUAUCAGAGUGGUACUUUUAUGAUGUUCCCCUAUCCAGAAUUGAACUGUUUAAAUUACUAUAUUUAGUUAUGAUUAUUUUAAAUGUAUUAUUUUUAAUUAUUUUAACUUAACAGUGUGAUGCCAUUAGUGUAUUGGAGAAAGAACAUGACUACAGAGAUGAACAUUUUGAUUUUAUUCAGUCACAUAUCCGGAAGUUUUGUUUACAGUAUGGUGCAGCACUUAUUUACACUUCAGUAAAAGAAAACAAAAAUAUAGACUUAGUAUAUAAAUACAUCGUUCAGAAACUAUAUGGAUUUCCCUAUAAGAUUCCUGCUGUUGUUGUGGAAAAGGAUGCAGUAUUUAUUCCAGCAGGGUGGGAUAAUGAUAAGAAAAUAGGAAUAUUACAUGAAAAUUUUCAAACAUUAAAAGCAGAAGAUAAUUUUGAAGACAUCAUAACUAAACCACCUGUUCGAAAGUUUGUACAUGAGAAGGAAAUUAUGGCAGAAGAUGAUCAGGUGUUUCUUAUGAAGCUACAGUCCCUUUUAGCAAAGCAACCACCAACUGCAGCUGGAAGGCCUGUGGAUGCCUCACCAAGAGUCCCAGGAGGCUCCC
rnacentral:lncRNA from 1 species